rnacentral:rRNA from 1 species
UGGCGGCGUGCCUAAUACAUGCAAGUCGAACGGUCUUUCUAUGGAAGCUUGCUUCCACUGAGAAGAUAGUGGCGAACGGGUGAGUAACACGUGGGUAACCUGCCCAUAAGAGGGGGGAUAACAUCCGGAAACGGGUGCUAAUACCGCAUAGUUUUCUUGAUCGCAUGAUCGGGAAAGGAAAGACGGCCUUUGUGCUGUCGCUUAUGGAUGGACCCGCGGCGUAUUAGUUAGUUGGUGAGGUAACGGCUCACCAAGACGAUGAUACGUAGCCGACCUGAGAGGGUGAUCGGCCACAUUGGGACUGAGACACGGCCCAAACUCCUACGGGAGGCAGCAGUAGGGAAUCUUCCGCAAUGGACGAAAGUCUGACGGAGCAACGCCGCGUGAGUGAAGAAAAGGUUUUCGGAUCGUAAAACUCUGUUGUCAGAGAAGAACAAGUUGGAGAGUAACUGCUCCAGCCUUGACGGUAUCUGACCAGAAAGCCACGGCUAACUACGUGCCAGCCGCUGC